UUCACUCCAAAGAUUUUCUCUCUCUCUCUCUCUUCCCAGCUCUUUGGUACGGCGAUGCCAGCGCUGGCUCGGCGCACAGUAGCCCCGCUCGCACCCGACGGAGGGCUGUGUCCUGCCCGCGGCCGUGCAUCUCCCAUACUUGGGUCACUUGUGGCGCAGGGUGGCUGGCACAUUGACCGGAGGUGGUGACAAGCUGCUGUGAGCAGAGUCAGGACCGUUCAGCGCAACGGUGGGAACGCCCAGCCCGGCUUGUACACUGCCAGCCCUUGACCUUGCCCAUCAUCCGCUACUGUUGCCCAGGAAGAUCCCACCGGCCAGAGAUUGGAGCUGGGCGCGAACCAUUACCACAGCUCAUUUGGAAAAUCGGAAUCGCAGGGGGGGAACUAUUAUCUGUCACACGUUGGCGAGGCUGUCAGCAUCAGGAGCCUUGACACUUGAGAGGUGAUCGGCGAGCUCGGUGCGGUGGACUGUCCAGAAGGAGAGGCUUACACUAUGAACACCAGCGCAGUGCCCUAUCAGCAGAACUCAUACAGCCAUGGAGGUGAGCCUGCAGGCAUCCGCUGCUAUCGAUGUGGUGGGCUGUGCAAAGGAGAGGUGGUCCGAGUGCAUAAUAACCACUUCCACGUCAAGUGUUUUACUUGCCAAUAUUGUGGUUCCGACUUGGCCCAGGCAAAUUUCUUCUUCAAGAAUGGAGAAUAUAUUUGCACGCUGGAUUAUCAACGGCUCUAUGGCACGCGCUGUGACAGUUGUAAGGAGUUCAUCGGGGGAGAGGUUAUCUCAGCUCUGGGAAGGACAUUCCAUCCAAAGUGCUUUGUCUGCACAGCCUGCAGGAAACCAUUCCCAGUUGGAGACCGUGUAACGUUCAGUGGCAAGGACUGUGUAUGUCAGCAAUGUUCUCAUACAUUGGUUACAGCCUCGGAACCGAUAAAGAUUCAUGGACCAAGUCAGUGUGCUGGUUGUGGAGAUGAAAUCAAACAUGGACAGUCACUACUAGCUUUGGAGAAGCAGUGGCAUGUGAGCUGCUUCAAGUGUCAGUCCUGUGGUGUUGGCCUUACAGGAGAAUACAUCAGCAAGGAUGGCGUUCCUUACUGUGAAACGGAUUACCAUUCACAUUUUGGCAUUAAGUGUGAGAGUUGUGAUAGAUAUAUCAGUGGAAGAGUAUUAGAGGCAGGAGGCAAACAUUACCACCCAACUUGUGCAAGGUGUGUCAGAUGCAACCAGAUGUUCACAGAGGGAGAAGAAAUGUACCUAACAGGCUGUGAAGUAUGGCAUCCCCUUUGUAAACAGUCUGCAAGAAUGGAAAAGAAGCUACGGCAUAGGCGUGCCUCGGAAGCUUCAAUCUCUCCUCCUGGAUCCAGUAUUUCAGGAUCACCUAAUCGGGUCAUCUGUGCAAAGGUGGAUAAUGAAAUACUUGACUAUAGGGAUCUGGCUGCUCUUCCCAAAGUUAAAACUAUCUAUGAUGUCCAACGUCCUGAUCUGGUUUCCUAUGAACAAUAUCAAAAAUCUGCAUCAGAAGACAGACUUGAAAGAUACAGUUUUGGGGAGUCACUUGGAAUGCUGUCACCAUACUCGCAGGACAUGUAUGACGGGAUGGAUUUAAGGCAGAGGAGAUCGUCCAGUCCUGGAUACAUUGACUCGCCCACAUACAGUCGACAAGGAAUGUCUCCCACAAUGCCCCGAUCACCCCAACAUUAUCACAGACCAGAAUAUGUGUACAUAGCAACAAAAAGCAAAACCAGUGAGGAUAUUGUACAGUCUGCAAGAUAUCCCGCAGCUUACUCUCCAGAUAUCUUCCAGCAAUCAGAAUCUGAGUAUUGGCAUUACCCAACUUCACCGAAAGCCACAAGAUGGAGUCGAAGGUCUUCUUGUGGAGCUGAGGAUGAAGGUCAAAAUAUAUGGGACCAGGGUAUUCAGAGGAUACAAAGUGGCAUUAAUCGAUUAAUUCUGAAGGAGGGGGAAAUGAAAGCUAGAUCAGGGACAUAUGAUAACGAUCCUUGGACAACACGGAGUUCUUCAACAAGUAGAGAAUAUCUACAUAAUGUAGGCUUUGAUUCUCCACUCAAUGGAUCUUCACGUGGACUUCACAUGGGUGAUAGCGAUCCACUGAUUUCCAAGUCUGCUUCUCUUCCUGCCUACAUGAGAAAUGGAAUGCACAGGCCCCAGAGUGCUGACAUUUUCCAAUAUGACAAUGAUAGUUCUGUUAAUUGGGGAAUGCGAGAAUACAAGGUAAGAACUGCUGCUGUGAACCUGUGGCUUUUGGAUUGCAACAACAAUGAGUGAGGGAAACAAAUGCUUUGAUUCCGUCACAAUACCUAGAAGUAGCAAGUGAUAUUCUCUACCACAACUGUAGGCAUGGAUUUGCAGUUUUCCAAGAAAAAUAAAUUAGCUUGUAUGAUUUUGUUAAACAAUCUCAUAACUUUCCAAUGACGGUAUUUGGCAUGCAUCACUUUGAUCCAUCAUAUGUAUUUAUAUAGUGAUUCUCUUACCCUGUAAUGUCUAAAAUUGUAAUAACCUUGUUGGCUGAGUAGCAAAUCACAUUUUAAAAAUCCGCUAAGUACAUAUCAAUAAGCAAAUGGCACAUUUUUAAUUAACUUUAUACAGUUUAUUCAGAGUGUGAGAUAAACAUUUUAUUCUGCACAUAUGAUUAGAAUGAGAAUAUACUAUAAUUGAACACACAAAAAAAUUUAAAAGCACUUACAUUUUGAAAUGUUCAUGAGGGAAUUCUGCAUUCUUAGAACAGGUAGUUUGGUAUGCACUAAUGAUGGCUUCAAAUUGCCAAAAAGCAGUAAAAACAAACUUUAAGAUUUGUUUGUAUAAAUAUCUAAAAAUCAUGUCAAAUGAUUUCUCUUGAUUGCAGUGGAGAAUGAUGCAAACCAUAUGACCUGCAAGGGAGCAGUGAAUCACUGGUACCUGGAGAAUCGUUUGGCUUCCUGUGCAUAUGAUGUAGAAAUCCUGAAGUUGUUUUCAGUUUUGCAAAAUAGUGAUGAUGAAUGCCAAUGAUUUGUGCCUAUACAAUACAAUCUACAUUGUUAAAGCAUGGAAUGAUGAAACCGGUCAUUCAUCGGAUUGUUUUGCUGGUAGAGAAUUUGUGUUGAUCGUGUUCAGUUAUUCUUUGUUACAACACACUCUGAGUGAACUGAUGGCUUGCAUUCAUCAGAACAAACCCAUUAUAAAGAAAGGCUUUGUUCUGAUACAUUUAAGUUCUGAUAAGUGUGCUGUUUGAAAUUGUGCUGAAAGUAUAUUAUUCAAGGUGAAUGUUCUGUCAGCUAUACAAAAUAAAGCAGAGGUUUCAAGUUGAGAUAACAGUUUUGACAAUCAUUGGCUAAUUUGGCCCUUGAUGCCUGUGCCAAGGUAACUAAUUGAACUGGAUCUUAGUAUCAUGGUCUCAUUUCUCUGCUCUUUCCCUAUGUCAUUAUAUAUAAUUUCUUCAAAUAUUAAUCAACUAUGUUGAAUAUGAUAUUAUGCUCUCCUACAAUAAUAAAUAAUUGCAAACUGUUCCAAGAACAUAACAUACUGAUAUCAAAUUUAUCUUUGUUUUCUACUCAUGUGAAUACUAAAUCUUGAUACUAAUCUCCAAAUCAAUGGAAUCUUUCACAAUUUAUCCUUUAACAUCUUUUGGUAUAUAUAUAUAUAUUUUUUUUUUUUACAUUUUAGCCUCUGGUUUUCCCUGCUUCAGUAAGCCCCAAUUAUGUAACUUUUCUUUAUAAUUCACUUUCCAGCUAUCAUUCCAGUGCAUUUGGAACAUAGAAUAGUGGAACACAGGAACAAUCCCUUUGCCCAAGGUGUCUGUGCAGAAAUUGGUGCCUACUUAAACUUAUACCUUCUUUCUUCAUAUGCUCUGUAUCCCUUAUUCCCUGCAUAUUCACUCUUUCUAAAAGUCUCUGAAAUGCUACUGUCUUAUUUACUUCUCUGGCAAUGUGUUCCAGGCACCGACCACUCUCUGUGUGUAAAAAAAACUUUCUCCGCACAUCUCAGCAUGGGCACAUCUUGGGGUAGCAUGAUGGUGCAGCGGUAGAGUUGCUGCCUUACAGCGCCACAGACCGGCAUUCAAUCCUGACCAUGGGUGCUGUCUAUACGGAAUUUGUACGUUCUCCCCAUGACCUUGUGGGUAUUCCCUGGAUGCUUCAGUUUCCUCCCACACUGCAAAGAUGUAUGGGUUUGUACAUUAAUUGGCUUCGGUAAAGAUUGUAAAUUGUCCCUAGUGUGUAGGAUAGUGUUAGUGUAUGAGGAUCGCUGGUUGGUGCAGACUCAGUAAGCAGAAGGGUCUGUACCCGUGCUAUAUUUCUAAAAUUUAAAAAAUCUUCUUUCAACUUUCUCCCUGUGACCUUAUAACUAUGCUCUCUUGUAUUUGACAUUUCUACCCUGGGAAGAAGAUCCUGAUUGUCUACACAUUCUAUUACAAUUUAUAUCCUUCUAACAAAUCUCCUCUCGGUUUCCGAUGCUCCUGAGAAAAGUCCAAGAAAAGACCAAGUUGGUCCAUCCUCUUCUGAUUGCUGAUACUCUCUAUUCCAGACAGCAUCCUGGUAAACAUCUUCUACACUCUCUUCAAAGUGUCCACUUCAUUCCAGUAAUGGGGUGACCAGAACAGCACACAAUGCUCAAAUUGAGGUCAAACCAAAGUUAGUCCACAUCACUAGAUCUUCUUUUUUCAGGCAUCAGGAAACAAUUUUCCAUAUAUACAGGGGCUUGCACAGGACUUCAACUUUGCCAGCAUUUGGUGGAUUGAACAAGCACAUCCUCAUUGUCAUGGGAAAAUAUCUGUACACACAUGCAUAAAGCCAUGUUAAUUUUUUAGGAUAAUUUGCUCACUGAACAGGCAUCAUGUUGGGAAAGCCUUUUCCUUUACCUGCUCCAUCACUCAAAAGCACGCAAAGAAAGCCAGAUGCAUCCAUGUACAAGGAUCAGCAGGGGGAAAGAGGUGGGAACAAUCAGCAGGGUGGUUAGAAGGGUGGGUCAAGCAAAGGUUGUAAGAUGGGAGAUGAUGAGGACAUCCCUACCAAAGAGCACGAUAGUGUGGCCAAGCAGACUGAACCAUUAAAUAAAGAGGAGCAACCCAAGAUGGGAUCUCAGUUCAAAGACUGGGACACUUCAGGAUAUAUACCAAACGAGGCUACACAAGUAUUGUUAGGAUCUGUUUCUCCAUGAGAGGCAGAUGCGUAUAUGGAGACCCAGUGGUACCAUCCAGGUAGGUGUUGUGCAUUUUUGGACCACAUUGUUGAUGUUCAGGUCCUUCACGGGUUAGCGUAUUGGUUGUAUGGAGAGUUCUGAAGGGCAGUUGCAGUUCAUCCCAAACUUUUCCUUACUUUAUUUUUCAUUAAAAAUUAAUGACAUGGCUCACUACAAAAGCCUUUAUGUUAUGCAAUCUCCAGACAACAUUUAUUCUGCUAAAAUAUUGAUACCCAACACAUUGACACAGCUUGUUUCCUUGUACCACACAAUAGCAUUGAAGAUUAACUCCAUUGAUAUGCUGUUCUAUUACACUCUACGCUCAUGAAACAUUCCACUGUUGUCUGCCAUCCAAUUUCUCUAGUUCUUGUUGACUUCCAAGCCGAAUAGGUUUAAAGUGAUUUAAGGCAAUUGACUGAGUUGUUUAUUUUCUAGAUUUAUCCAUUUCAUCUCCUGAUGGUAACCACCAGAGGUCGACAUAAGUUGCCAAAAGAUGUUGACAGGACAAGAUUAGAGCGUCACUUAUCACCAGAAGACUUCUAUCGUGUGUUUGGAAUGACACUCGCAGAGUUUGAUCGACUUGCCUUAUGGAAGAGAAAUGAAAUGAAAAAGCAAGCAAGGCUCUUUUAAACAAAUGUAACCAUCAUAUUAAAGGAACAAACUAC